rnacentral:rRNA from 1 species
CGAUGAUGCCCAGCUUGCUGGGCGGAUUAGUGGCGAACGGGUGAGUAAUACGUGAGUAACCUGCCCCUGACUCUGGGAUAAGCCUGGGAAACCGGGUCUAAUACUGGAUACGACCUCCUGCCGCAUGGUGGGGGGUGGAAAGGGUUCACUGGUUUUGGAUGGGCUCACGGCCUAUCAGCUUGUUGGUGGGGUAAUGGCUCACCAAGGCGACGACGGGUAGCCGGCCUGAGAGGGUGACCGGCCACACUGGGACUGAGACACGGCCCAGACUCCUACGGGAGGCAGCAGUGGGGAAUAUUGCACAAUGGGCGAAAGCCUGAUGCAGCGACGCCGCGUGAGGGAUGACGGCCUUCGGGUUGUAAACCUCUUUCAGUAGGGAAGAAGCGCAAGUGACGGUACCUGCAGAAGAAGCGCCGGCUAACUACGUGCCAGCAGCCGCGGUAAUACGUAGGGCGCAAGCGUUGUCCGGAAUUAUUGGGCGUAAAGAGCUCGUAGGCGGUUUGUCGCGUCCGCUGUGAAAGCCCGGGGCUCAACCCCGGGUCGGCAGUGGGUACGGGCAGACUAGAGUGCAGUAGGGGAGACUGGAAUUCCUGGUGUAGCGGUGAAAUGCGCAGAUAUCAGGAGGAACACCGAUGGCGAAGGCAGGUCUCUGGGCUGUUACUGACGCUGAGGAGCGAAAGCAUGGGGAGCGAACAGGAUUAGAUACCCUGGUAGUCCAUGCCGUAAACGUUGGGCACUAGGUGUGGGGGG